GACGAACGCUGGCGGCGUGCCUAAUACAUGCAAGUAGAACGCAGUUGCGAACGGGUGAGUAACGCGUAGGUAACUGCCUCAUACCGGGGGGUAACUAUUGGAAACACUAGCUAAUACCCCCUACUGUGAGCUGGACCUGCGUUGUAUUAGCUAGUUGGUGAGGUAAAGGCUCACCAAGGCGACGAUACAUAGCCGACCUGAGAGGGUGAUCGGCCACACUGGGACUGAGACACGGCCCAGACUCCUACGGGAGGCAGCAGUAGGGAAUCUUCGGCAAUGGACGGAAGUCUGACCGAGCAACGCCGCGUGAGUGAUGAAGGCUUUCGGGUCGUAAAGCUCUGUUGUUAGAGAAGCGGUACCUAAACAGAAAGGGACGGCUAACUACGUGCCAGCAGCCGCGGUAAUUC
rnacentral:rRNA from 1 species